rnacentral:rRNA from 1 species
GCCUACAGAUGCAUGUCGAACGGUAGCACAGAGAGCUUGCUCUCGGGUGACGAGUGGCGGACGGGUGAGUAAUGUCUGGGAAACUGCCUGAUGGAGGGGGAUAACUACUGGAAACGGUAGCUAAUACCGCAUAACGUCGCAAGACCAAAGAGGGGGACCUUCGGGCCUCUUGCCAUCAGAUGUGCCCAGAUGGGAUUAGCUAGUAGGUGGGGUAACGGCUCACCUAGGCGACGAUCCCUAGCUGGUCUGAGAGGAUGACCAGCCACACUGGAACUGAGACACGGUCCAGACUCCUACGGGAGGCAGCAGUGGGGAAUAUUGCACAAUGGGCGCAAGCCUGAUGCAGCCAUGCCGCGUGUAUGAAGAAGGCCUUCGGGUUGUAAAGUACUUUCAGCGGGGAGGAAGGUGUUGUGGUUAAUAACCGCAGCAAUUGACGUUACCCGCAGAAGAAGCACCGGCUAACUCCGUGCCAGCAGCCGCGGUAAUACGGAGGGUGCAAGCGUUAAUCGGAAUUACUGGGCGUAAAGCGCACGCAGGCGGUCUGUCAAGUCGGAUGUGAAAUCCCCGGGCUCAACCUGGGAACUGCAUUCGAAACUGGCAGGCUAGAGUCUUGUAGAGGGGGGUAGAAUUCCAGGUGUAGCGGAGAAAUGCGUAGAGAUCUGGAGGAAUACCGGUGGCGAAGGCGGCCCCCUGGACAAAGACUGACGCUCAGGUGCGAAAGCGUGGCGAGCAAACAGGAUUAGAUACCCUGGUAGUCCACGCCGUAAACGAUGUCGACUUGGAGGUUGAGCCCUUAAAGCGUGGCUUCCGGAGCUAACGCGUUAAGUCAAUCGCUUGAGGAGUACGG